AUUGAACGCUGGCGGCAGGCCUAACACAUGCAAGUCGAGCGGAGCGGCGGACGGGUGAGUAAUGCCUAGGAAUCUGCCUGGUAGUGGGGGAUAACGUCCGGAAACGGGCGCUAAUACCGCAUACUAUCAGAUGAGCCUAGGUCGGAUGAGCUAGUUGGUGGGGUAAAGGCCUACCAAGGCGACGAUCCGUACAUGGUAUGAGCGGAUGAUCAGCCACACUGGAACUGAGACACGGUCCAGACUCCUACGGGAGGCAGCAGUGGGGAAUCUUCGACAAUGGGCGAAAGUCUGAUCGAGCCAUGCCGCGUGAGUGAAGAAGGUCUUCGGAUUGUAAAGCACUUUUAUUUGGGAGGCGUUACUAACAGAAUAAGCACCGGCUAACUACGUGCCAGCAGCCGCGGUAAUAC
rnacentral:rRNA from 1 species